rnacentral:rRNA from 1 species
UACGAAGGGUGCAAACGUUAUUCGGAAUCACUGGGCGUAAAGGGUGCGUAGACGGCUUAUUAAGUUCGUCGUUAAAGGCUCCGGCCCAACCGGAGUAUUGCGAUGAAAACUGGUAAACUAGAGGGUGAGAGAGAGAAGUGGAAUUCCCGGAGUAGCGGUAAAAUGCGUGGAUCUCGGGAGGAACACCAAUGGCGAAGGCAGCUCGCUGGGACGGUACUGACGCUGAGACGCGAAAGCGUGGGGAGCGAACAGG